rnacentral:rRNA from 1 species
AUACGGAGGGAGCAAGCGUUAUUCGGAAUCACUGGGCGUAAAGGACGCGUAGGCGGGUUUGUAAGUCAGGUGUGAAAUCCUACAGCUCAACUGUAGAACCGCACUUGAAACUACAGACCUAGAGUAUGGAAGGGGCAGAUGGAAUUAGUGGUGUAGGGGUAAAAUCCGUAGAUAUCACUAGGAAUACCGAAAGCGAAGGCGAUCUGCUGGGACAUUACUGACGCUGAGGCGUGAAAGCGUGGGGAGCAAACAGGAUUAGAAACCCCUGUAGUCC